rnacentral:rRNA from 1 species
UACGGGGGGGGCAAGCGUUGUUCGGAAUUACUGGGCGUAAAGGGCGCGUAGGCGGCCUGCUAAGUCGGACGUGAAAUCCCUCGGCUCAACCGGGGAACUGCGUCCGAUACUGGCGAGGCUUGAAUCCGGGAGAGGGAUGUGGAAUUCCAGGUGUAGCGGUGAAAUGCGUAGAUAUCGGGAGGAACACCAGUGGCGAAGGCGGCGAUCUGGGAAGAUACUGACGCUGAGGUGCGAAAGCGUGGGGAGCAAACAGG